rnacentral:rRNA from 1 species
UGAAUACGAGACGCUAAGGCGUCGAAGUAGUGUAUGUCAUACUUCCAAGAAAAGCUUGCACUGUCAUAGAUAAAAAACGCCUGUACCAUAACCGACACAGGUGGGUAGGUAGAGUAUACUAAGGGGCGCGAGAUAACUCUCUCUAAGGAACUCGGCAAAAUAACUCCGUAACUUCGGGAGAAGGAGUGCCUUAUUCGUAAGGUUGCAAUAACAAGAUCCAAGCAACUGUUUAUCAAAAACACAGGUCUCCGCUAAGUCGUAAGACGAUGUAUGGGGGCUGACGCCUGCCCAGUGCCAGAAGGUUAAAGAAGUUGGUUAGCAAUUGCGAAGCUGACAACUGAAGCCCUGGUGAACGGCGGCCGUAACAAUAACGGUCCUAAGGUAGCGAAAUUCCUUGUCGGGUAAGUUCCGACCCGCACGAAAGGCGUAAUGAUUUGGAUACUGUCUCGGAGAGGGGCUCGGUGAAAUAGACUUGUCUGUGAAGAUGCGGACUACCUGCACCAGGACAGAAAGACCCUAUGAAGCUUUACUGUAACUUGAAAUUGAAAUUGGACUUUAUUCGCGCAGUAUAGGUGGGAGGCGUUGAUUAUAAUCUUGUGGGAUUAUUGGAGCCAUCAGUGAGAUACCACUCUUGUAAUGUUAGAUUUCUAACUUUGAAUCAUUAUCUGGUCAAAGAACAGUUUCAGGCGGGCAGUUUGACUGGGGCGGUCGCCUCCUAAACGGUAACGGAGGCGUACAAAGGUUUCCUCUGAACGGUUAGAAAUCGUAUCUAGAGUGUAAAGGCAUAAGGAAGCUUGACUGUGAGACCUACAAGUCGAGCAGGGACGAAAGUCGGUCUUAGUGAUCUGACGGUACUGAGUGGAAAGGCCGUCACUCAACGGAUAAAAGUUACUCUAGGGAUAACAUGCUGAUCUCCCCCAAGAGUUCACAUCGACGGGGAGGUUUGGCACCUCGAUGUCGGCUCAUCGCAUCCUGGGGCGGUAGUACGUCCCAAGGGUUGGGCUGUUCGCCCAUGAAAGCGGUACGCGAGCUGGGUUCAGAACGUCGUGAGACAGUUCGGUCCAUAUCCGGUGUAGGCGUUAGAAUAUUGAGAGGAGCCUUCUUUAGUACGAGAGGACCGAGAAGGACAUACCUCUGGUGUACCAGUUAUCGUGCCAACGGUAAACGCUGGGUAGCUAUGUAUGGAGUGGAUAACCGCUGAAAGCAUCUAAGUGGGAAGCCCACCUCAAGAUAAGUAUUCCC